rnacentral:rRNA from 1 species
UACGGGGGGAGCAAGCGUUGUUCGGAUUUACUGGGCGUAAAGGGCGCGUAGGCGGCCACCGCAAGUCGACCGUGAAAUCUCCGGGCUUAACCCGGAAAGGUCAGCCGAUACUGCGGGGCUAGAGUGCAGAAGGGGCAACUGGAAUUCUCGGUGUAGCGGUGAAAUGCGUAGAUAUCGAGAGGAACACCUGCGGCGAAGGCGGGUUGCUGGGCUGACACUGACGCUGAGGCGCGAAAGCUAGGGGAGCGAACGGG